rnacentral:lncRNA from 1 species
GUCAUUCUGCUCAGCUCUCAAGCAAAUCCUCCCGAGGCCUGCAUGUCAGAGUGCAGAAGAGCAAAGCUGUCAUACAGAGCAAGACUGCCCUGGCCAGUAAGAGGAGAACAGACCGGUUCAUAGUGAAAUCUAGAGAGCGCAGCGGGGGCCCAAUCACCCGAAGCCUUCAGCUGGCAGCUGCUGCGGACCUGAGUGAAAGCAGGAGAGAGGACAGCAGUGCCAGGCAUGAGCUGAAGGACUUCAGGUAAGCCCAGAGCUCGGGGAGGUGAGGACUGCUGCAGAGCCGUAACUGGCCUGGAGGAUGUCUUUCCUCCUGCAGCAUAUAGACAAGAGCAUUUCAGCGAAGUGCCAGUUGCAUAAUUUGUAGCAUACCCCCACUGCCUUGGCUGCUGUACAGAUGAAUAAAUACAUUUUAUUUGACUUAGUACUC